rnacentral:rRNA from 1 species
CCUACGGGAGGCAGCAGUGAGGAAUAUUGGUCAAUGGCCGGAAGGCUGAACCAGCCAAGCCGCGUGAAGGACGAAGGUGCCAAGCAUUGUAAACUUCUUUUGUCAAGGGACAAAAUCAGGCUUGAGAGCCUGACAGAGGGUACUUGAAGAAAACGCAUCGGCUAACUCCGUGCCAGCAGCCGCGGUAAUACGGAGGAUGCGAGCGUUAUCAGGAUUUAUGGGGUUUAAGGGAUGCGUAGGCGGACGGUUAAGUCAGCGGUAAAAGCCCGGGGCUCAACCCCGGCGAGCCGUUGAAACUGGCUGUCUUGAGAUGUCGAGAGGUAUGCGGAAUGCGCAGUGUAGCAGUG